rnacentral:rRNA from 1 species
AUGGGCGCGUACAAGUUGGUGUCGGAGCUAUGCAGGAGGAAGCAGUCGGACGUGAUGAGGUUCGUGCAGCGCAGGGCUCUCGGCUCCCAGGCCAAGCAGCUUGGCAAGCCUAUUAAGGAGACCAAGGAAGAUGUGUACCCGAGGACCCACAAGUCACCUGCCAAGAUACGCAUAAUUAUGAAAUCUUUCAAUAACCAGAAGAACAAUCUGAAGGAGCUUGCGCCGUACAUGCAUAAGGUUGGGUUGCCUGAAUCGCGGUCCUUAUACACCGUGCUGCGAUCACCUCAUAUUGAUAAGAAAUCCAGGGAGCAAUUCUCAACGCAUGUGAAGAAAGUGUUUGUGGAGAAAACAGCGGAGACACAUGAACUGGCCAAGAAGUUCUUCUGGUUGAAACGGCUUCGUAUAUUGGGGGCUCAGUAUGAAGUCGUUAUUAAUUUCAAGACACGCUUGGGUAAAAAGUUUGGCUGCAGCAAAGGUGGUGGCCUGCUUUGA